rnacentral:rRNA from 1 species
AUUGAACGCUGGCGGCAUGCCUUACACAUGCAAGUCGAACGGUAACGCGGGGCAACCUGGCGACGAGUGGCGAACGGGUGAGUAAUGUAUCGGAACGUGCCCAGUUGUGGGGGAUAACUGCUCGAAAGAGCAGCUAAUACCGCAUACGACCUGAGGGUGAAAGCGGGGGAUCGCAAGACCUCGCGCAAUUGGAGCGGCCGAUAUCAGAUUAGGUAGUUGGUGGGGUAAAGGCCCACCAAGCCAACGAUCUGUAGCUGGUCUGAGAGGACGACCAGCCACACUGGGACUGAGACACGGCCCAGACUCCUACGGGAGGCAGCAGUGGGGAAUUUUGGACAAUGGGCGCAAGCCUGAUCCAGCCAUGCCGCGUGCGGGAAGAAGGCCUUCGGGUUGUGAACCGCUUUUGUCAGGGAAGAAACGCUCUGGGUUAAUACCUCGGGGUAAUGACGGUACCUGAAGAAUAAGCACCGGCUAACUACGUGCCAGCCGCCGCCGUAA